GGUUAAUUUGUAGCGUCAAUGUGCUUUUCACAUAACACUACAACAGAAUUAGGUUAUAGGGACACAUAUUUGGGACAUUUUUGAGUAAGUGUCCCAUUUAUGCUAAAACUUAAAAACACAUCUACUAAUGCCUAAAUAUAAAGCCCAAUCUAAUUAAAAAUAAAAGAUUACUCUACUCAACCCACCACACCCAGUCCAUUUGACCCGAUUACAAACAGAAAAGAAAAAAAGAAAGAAAAAUCAAUUACCAUCUUUUCUUCUCUCUUCACUCAAUCCACUGAAAUUCUAGACGAAGAGCCUUUACUGUCAUCCUCUUCCGCCACCGCAGCCAACGAGAUAGAGUUUCGGCGGUUGCUAAAUGCUUAAAUAAGUGUUGGUAAAUUAGCAGCACUUUUUAGGUUAUAGCGACACUCUUUAACUGUCACUAUAUACCUAGCGACCCCACAUAUAGCAACACUUUUUAAAAGUGUCGGUAAUUUUAGCUAGCAGCACUUUUUUGACAUGUACCUACAUUUAAAAGUGUCGCUAUAGACCGUUUUUGUUGUAGUGUAAGUUCUAAGUUAGGAGAGUUAUAGUAAACCAACAAUAUAAGUUUCAAGGACUUGCUUGUAAAGCUUUAUUUACUGGCGUAAUCUCACUAUUGUGGGCUAACCUAGGCUAGUUAAGAAUUGUGCAUAUAGGGGAGCUCCCUAUAUAUAUAUAUAUAUAUAUAUAUAUAUAUAUAGAGCUAGGCUCCUAUGCUUUCGAAAGUACAGAAGCCUCCGUACUUAAAAGUUGUUUUCAAUAAUGGGACAUCCGAUUCAGUGAUCGGUUCCGUUAGACAUGAUCUACGCUAUUGGAACUACCUAGAAACCAAAUUUCAUAAUUUUUUUACUUUGUUUGUCUAGUAAACGAGUAGCCUCAAAAUGAACGGCUGAAAAUAAAAAUCUUAUAAAAAACAGUGAUAAAGGACUCAAAUUUCAAAUCGGAAGUAUUGGUCUUUCUAUUGAUAUUAAGUAGAAUUUUCUAUUAAAUUUUCAUCUAAUUUGGAUACUUCUACACCGUUGAACUUAAAAACGUGCCACAUCGGCCGUUAAAAUAGUCAUUUUUGAGAUUUUUCGAUCGCUUGGUAAAUGAUGUCAAAAAAUUAUAAAAUUUGGUUUCUAAAUAGUUCCAAUAGGGUAGAUUAUACUUAACGGAACCGAUCGUCGAAUCGGAUUUCCUAUCAUCGAAAACAACUUACAAGUACGGAGGUCUCCGUACUUUCGAAAGUACAGAAGACUUACUCUAUAUAUAUAUAUAUAUAUAUAUAUAUAUAUAUGGAUUGAUAAUGAAUAAAGCGAUGCUAUAAACUAGGCUGCUUGAGUUUUAUCUAUUAGCAACCUACACAGAAUUAGUUAUAGCGACACAGUUUGAGACAUUUUCAGUAAUGUCCCCAUUUAUGCUAAAACUUAAAAACACAUCUACUAAUGCCUAAAUAUAAAGCCCAAUCCAACCAAAAAUAAAAGAUUACUCUACUCAACCCACUACACCCAGUCCAUUUGGCCCGAUUACAAACAGAAAAGAAAAAAAAAAGAAAAAUCAAUUACCUUCUUUUCUUCUCUCUUCACUCAAUUCACUGAAAUUCUAGACGAAGAGUCUUUACUGUUGUCCUCCUACGCCACCGCAGCCAACAAGAUAGAGUUUCGGCGAUUGCUAAAUACUUAAAUAAGUAUUGAUAAAUUAGCAGCACUCUUUUAGGUUAUAGCGACACUCUUUAACUGUCACUAUAUACCUAGCGACCCCACAUAUAGCAACACUUUUUAAAAAUGUCGGUAAUUUUAGCUAGCAGCACUUUUUUAACAUGUACCUAUAUUUAAAAGUAUCGCUAUAGACCGUUUUUGUUGUAGUGUAGUAAAUAAAUUCUUUUUUGGCAAAAGAUGUAACAUUAAUAGUAUAAUUUAGGAAAGUAGAUUUAAGAAGUGAUUA
rnacentral:lncRNA from 1 species